GCGGCCAUCGUCUAUCGGUCAGGACGGCACCCUCUCACGGUGCAGAGCGGGGUUCGAUUCCCCGUGGCCGUACCA
rnacentral:tRNA from 3 species